rnacentral:rRNA from 1 species
UACGAAGGGGGCUAGCGUUGCUCGGAAUCACUGGGCGUAAAGCGCACGUAGGCGGCUUUUUAAGUCAGGGGUGAAAUCCUGGAGCUCAACUCCAGAACUGCCUUUGAUACUGAGAAGCUUGAGUCCGGGAGAGGUGAGUGGAACUGCGAGUGUAGAGGUGAAAUUCGUAGAUAUUCGCAAGAACACCAGUGGCGAAGGCGGCUCACUGGCCCGAUACUGACGCUGAUGAACGAAAGCGUGGGGAGCAAACAGG